rnacentral:rRNA from 1 species
GAUGAACGCUGGCGGCGUGCCUAAUACAUGCAAGUCGAGCGAACAGACGAGGAGCUUGCUCCUCUGACGUUAGCGGCGGACGGGUGAGUAACACGUGGAUAACCUACCUAUAAGACUGGGAUAACUUCGGGAAACCGGAGCUAAUACCGGAUAAUAUAUUGAACCGCAUGGUUCAAUAGUGAAAGACGGUUUUGCUGUCACUUAUAGAUGGAUCCGCGCCGCAUUAGCUAGUUGGUAAGGUAACGGCUUACCAAGGCAACGAUGCUUAGCCGACCUCGGAGGGUGGUCGGCCACACGGGAACUGAGACACGGUCCAGACUCCUACGGGAGGCAGCAGUAGGGAAUCUUCCGCAAUGGGCGAAAGCCUGACGGAGCAACGCCGCGUGAGUGAUGAAGGUCUUCGGAUCGUAAAACUCUGUUAUUAGGGAAGAACAAAUGUGUAAGUAACUAUGCACGUCUUGACGGUACCUAAUCAGAAAGCCACGGCUAACUACGUG